CCGUGAGGGAAAGAUGAAAAGAACUUUGAAAAGAGAGUUAAAAAGUACGUGAAACCGUUGAAAGGGAAACGAAUGGAGUUAGCAAUGCACCCAGCAAGAUUCAGCCGGUGGGUGGCGCGGACGGGCGGUUGGCGGAUCUGAAUGGACCGCCGUCGUCCGGCUCGUUCUCCCAGCCGUCGCACUUCUUGCGGGUGCGCGUCAACGUCGGUUCGGACCCGGUUUUAAGGCUCGCGGUAAGGUAGGUCGGACGCUCCGGCGCCCUUCUGUUAUAGCCCGCGUUCCGAUGGUCGGGACCGGACCGAGGAGUCGCAGCGCAUGCCUCUUUUGGCUAGGGUCCCUUCGUGCCGGUCGGUCGUCGACCGUGGUGGACUGCGUGCAGUGCACCCGAACCGCUGCCGGUCGCCGCGGAGGUGACUUCGUACAAUGCGCUAAGGACGUUGGCGGUCAUAUGGCUUCAUCCGACCCGUCUUGAAACACGGACCAAGGAGUCUAGCCUGUGCGCGAGUCUUAGGGUGAUGGAAACCCAGAGGCGCAAUGAAAGUGAAAGCGGCCUGGCCGCCGAGGUGAGAACCUCUCCUCCUUCGGGGGCGAGUGGUGCAUCAUUGACCGAUCUAUUCUACUCUUAGGAAGAUUUGAGUAAGAGCGCACACGCUGGGACCCGAAAGAUGGUGAACUAUGCCUGAAUAGGGUGAGGCCAGAGG
rnacentral:rRNA from 1 species